rnacentral:lncRNA from 1 species
GGGGAAUUACUUUUGGAAAAAUGAUUGAAUUAAAACAAUACCUAAGGAAAACUCCACCUAGACUUCACUUGUUAUUUAACUCUGAAUCGGAGAUUUAUUCAUUUGACUUGAUCCGUAGAAAUCGCUAAGUUAUAUUAUUAUCCCUCUCGAGACUAAAAACGUCUAACCCCAGGUUGAAUAAUUGAAAUCUCUUUCUAAUUAACUCCCUAGGGUUGCAUUAACUCGAUCUAUGGAUCCCCUUAUUAAGUUU